rnacentral:rRNA from 1 species
UACGAGAGCCUCGAGCGUUAUCCGGAAUUAUUGGGCGUAAAGGGUGCGUAGGUUGUUCUGUUAGUCUUUUGUCAAAUCCCCGAGCUUAACUCGGGAAUCGCGAAGGAAACGGCAGAACUUGAAAGUGUGAGAGGCGUACGGAACUCAUGGUGUAGGGGUGAAAUCCGUUGAUAUCAUGGGGAACACCAAAUGCGAAGGCAGUACGCUGGCGCAUAUUUGACACUGAAGCACGAAAGCGUGGGUAG